AGAGAUGACCAGUGAGUACUUUGUAAUUCUCUGAUAUGAUUGGUUCUUGUCUCUAAGUGCAUUAGAACAGAAACCAAUCACAGUAAAGAAUCAUUGUGCGCGCACUGUGCUCGUCCGCUCCGUCUGUUGAACGCGCGCGUUUACGCGUUAUCGACCUUGAUCAAGUUUGCCGGGCAGUUUAGCAUCCUCUUAAAGGGUCAAAACACAAAAGAUGCACGAAAGUGCGAUCAAAAGCAAUAGCAUCGUCGUCGCGGAUGCAUCGGUAGCAUCUGUGCCGCGUGAAAUUAGCCGCGCGAUCGUCAACUCGCUGCUCGACUCGUCGACUCGUCGGUUGGGCCGAUCCACUUCGUCACUUAGCACUUUGCGUAUGCGUCGUAGCGUUAUGUAUUCUCCGUACUGUGUGUAUUUCUCGAGCUCGUAUCGAAUUUAUUCGCGCUGCUUGCACUCAGCAUCGUGCCUUUGUCUCUCUGCAACGCUCGAAUACACAUUUAUCUCGUUUCGAGUGCGAAAAUUAUUGGAAAAUUGUCGAGCGACGCGAGCGGACUAGUCCAUUAUUCGUCCAUCGAAAGGCAAUGCCUGUACGGUGCGCGUCGCGUACGAUUUACGUAUUGGGAGUGUUAUUUGGCCGGGAGUGUCGUGUGUUGUGUUUUCAUGAUCAGUAUGAUCGUAAUGAACGUGUCCUCGCGCGAGUGAACGAACAUAACCUCGGGAGUGCCGCUCUGGACACCGCGCGAUCGUCAUAUUCCAUCGAUCGAUCAGCGAUAUCAGCGGUAAUCAGUCGAUUGUCGUCCGCGCGAAUGAGUGCUACAUGGAUAAACAACGAAUAAGAGAGGAAGACAAGGCCCUAGGAGGCAUCGGGUGACAGCCGAGCAACCGUGAGAUUAUUUAAGUGAUUGUGUGUCACGACACCCCGCUGCUGAGCAUCGUAUUUCUGACUUCUUCAAUACGAGCGCAAUUAUAUAAAUACGAGCCUGAACGUGGCGUUCGAAGGCCGAAGUAACCAAAUGAGCGGCUGGCAUGGCUUUUGACAGAACAGAAUCGGAAAGGGAGCCGUUCCGUACGCCAAAACACCCGUUUCCGUCAGCAGCAACUUUCAUUCCGCAAGCUGAUUUCUGCGGUCCCGCGAAAAACGAGCAAGGAAAUUUCGGCGAUUUCAUUUCAUACGAACGCAAGGAUGGUCACGCUUGCUUUCGGCGCCGAGGUACGUGCGCGGGGUCGCGUCGCGUCCGCAUCGGUUGGUAGGUAGGUAGACACAGUCAAGUCGGGUGGAGAACGGUGGGAGGACAGCGUCGUCGACGCGUGCACCACGUAGGAUGAUAGCCAAAAGCGGCGGCGGUUGGCAGGACAGGGGAACGUGUCACGCGAUCCGUGAGUAAUUCGCACGAGCCGAGGCCCACCCGCCUGCCUGCCUGUUUAACAGAGUGUUAUAAUCUAUUUACGUUAACAUUACCAACGUUUAACGUGGUUGCUCUGCAUCCCCGGGGUCAGAGAAAGGGGUUGGUUGCGGCGGAGGUGGCGGCGGCGGCAGCGGCAGCGGCGAUGGAGGUGGAGGAGAGACGGAGGUGGAAGGUUGCUGGUCGGAGAAGGGUAUGAUGCUCUCUCUCUCUUUCUCUCUCUCUCUCUCUCUCUCUCUCUCUCUCUCUCUCUCUCUCUCUCUCUCUCUCUCUCUCUUUCUCUCUCUCUCUCUCUUUCCUCCCCUUUUUGCCUCUGCAUCAGACAGCACUCAAGAAUUGUCGCAGGCACGUUAGGGCUUUUGGAAACAAGCGUUAAUUCGUGUGGUCGCUCGCACACGCAUUAACCGCGGCUCUCUGCAUAUUCUCUGUGUGUCUUUCUCAAUAUCCCUCUCUCGCUUUCUCUUGCACGAGGUUUUGUAUCUGUUCUAUAGAUUUCUAUGCAUUUCAGAUCCAAAAUGAUGAGCUUUACGAAACUUAACAAUUAUAUAUACUGAACAGAUUGGAGAUCUGAAAUGUGAAGGGUCGAUCUGAUCAGUGCGACUUUUACAAGGAAUGAUAGCUGAGGGAGAGAGGCUCUUGAGAAGAUUAAGAUACGCGAUGUGUCGAAAAGGAAAGAACUGUUCAACAAGCUACCAAUCGUGACCCCCCUCCCCGAGAGACGUGCGAGCGAUUAAGGAGUCGAGGACGAAAAAUAGAAAUUAUGCGAUAUUAACAGCGCGAUUACGCAGCAUCCGUGGAAGUUCAAGUGGCAAGCAUUGUACGUGUCUACCGUCAGCCAACAGUUCGUUCAUGAACGGAUUACGGACACUCGAGCCGGCGGCCGGGAGGAGUACAAUCCCCUGGCCCGGCACAAGAGCAAGGGAACACGUACGUUCCGUUUGAACGAGCCUGUAGGCAAAGAGGACUCCGAGCGUGUACAUCCACGCUCGGCGUAUGCACGACAAUACGGGCUAAAUGCCCGGCUCCCAACCAAACCGCCAACUAACUGUACGAAACGUCCUGAAACUUUAGACGCGAUUAUCUGGAGGUUACGUCGUAACAAUUAUGAGGCUGCCACUCCGCGAAAUCAGGAGACGGCUAACUUGUUUGCGCGCGCCCACCUAUCGUCUUUGUGUCACAGAUAAUUUUCGUGGACGCGGGCUAAUGGACGAGCGCGGUACAACGGGACGAACUGUAACCCUCGCCGUACCACCUGCGGAGUGCGUUGUCCUAUCCACACGUAUAUUCCCCAUUUGUUCCGACAAACGAUAAUGACGAUCGUCCCGAUGACGUCCGCGAGGAGGUAAAGAGCGUAGUUGGUUACGAUUUCACUUAAUUGCAGAUUUUACGAUUAACAGUUACGUAAAAUCCGCAAAUCUGAUUGAUUAGUUUUCUUUAAAAUGUUAUGUAUCGCAACCCAAAGCAUUCUAAAAAUAUUUAAAAGUAUCACAUGUUAUUCUGUUAUUACGUAUUUAUGUUAUUGAGUAUUUGUGUAAAUUGUAAGCACAAUUCUCUUGUUAAUUUAAAAACUAUUUUUGUUUUUUGUUUCUAUGUAAAAUUGCACUUUGCAGUACUGAUUUGCAAAUUUAAUAGACAUAGCAUUGCGAAUUAAAUUUUUUUACAUAU